rnacentral:rRNA from 1 species
GACGGAGGGUGCAAGCGUUGUUCGGAAUUAUUGGGCGUAAAGAGCGUGUAGGCGGCCGCACAGGUCCGUUGUGAAAACUGGAGGCUUAACCUUCAGACGUCGAUGGAAACCGUGCGGCUAGAGUCCGGAAGAGGAGAAUGGAAUUCCUGGUGUAGCGGUGAAAUGCGCAGAUAUCAGGAAGAACACCCGUGGCUAAGGCGGUUCUCUAGUACGGUACUGACGCUGAGACGCGAAAGCGUGGGGAGCGAACAGG